UACGUAGGGUGCGAGCGUUGUCCGGAAUUACUGGGCGUAAAGAGCUCGUAGGUGGUUUGUCGCGUUGUUCGUGAAAACUCACAACUCAAUUGUGGACGUGCGGGCGAUACGGGCAGACUGGAGUACUGCAGGGGAGACUGGAAUUCCUGGUGUAGCGGUGGAAUGCGCAGAUAUCAGGAGGAACACCGGUGGCGAAGGCGGGUCUCUGGGCAGUAACUGACGCUGAGGAGCGAAAGCGUGGGGAGCGAACAGG
rnacentral:rRNA from 1 species